UAUCGAUAAUACGAACGCAACACAAGUUGUCCCAUCAAAAAAUUCCACCCACAGCUCCUCUAAUUUGCAAAAUCAAUCUGCAAUCGCUGUUGCACUAUCGGAGGAGCAACUUGCCCGGGUUCAUCAAAUAAUCGACUUGGAGAAAUCUGGUUUGAUUCGAGUUAAACGAAAAAUUGGGGAUGAUUCCUCAUUGGAAGGGUUACAAUAUACUCAAAUUUCAACUGAUUCUAACCAGAGAAACUCGAGAAAUCCAAUGGCGACUGAAGGCAGAAGUGCGACUGUGUCGCCUGAAAAUCGAUCUCAAAUUCGACCAAGUUCCGGCGACCUUCGAGUGGCGCUCAACACAGGGGUUUGUUCCCCACAUCAAAGCGCCCCUCCUCACCAAUUUUCAGACCAAAUGGCCAGAGGAUUAGUGGAGGAGCAAGUCGCCGGAGAAGACGCCGGAGCUCCGGCAACUUUUUCAGGCGAAGAACAAUACCAUCCUGGGAGCUUCAAUGUCCUUAGCAAUCCCCACCAGGUAAGAGCUCUCGAAUCUUCACACACCAAUUCGAAUUUGAAAAAAAAUAGCUACUGGUUCGAAAGCUGAUGAACAAUCGAAGGAACAAAUUCAAGCCUCCCAUUUUGAUAAUUCAAUAAGUUUUGGAUUAAUUGGUGUGGAAAAUAUGAUUCCUCAUCUCCCAAACAUCAGAGAAGACAUUCAAUCUUCUCCAAUUAGCACAAAUAUGCCUAUUCAACAGAGUUACUGUUCCAGUGGUCGCGCCGGAGCUCCGGCGACUCAAUCAGUGCAACACCAAUGCCAAAAUAUUCCUAAGAGUGUUCCGGAGCUUCCCAGCCAAGGUAAUGUCUCAAAUCAUCACCUAUAAGCUCAAAUUCAAAAAGUCGCCAAGACAUCCUCCAAGGUGAUGUGCACUGUUUCACUGGUUUUGGAGCUGAGGAUUCUAUAUUGGUUCAUGACCAAUAUCAGCAACAUGAUAAUUUCAAUCAGCUCAAUGAAGAUAUACACAUAUUUGAUAAUGCAAAAUUGAAGAAUCUUUGUUCCAAGACUGAUACAAAGGCCUUAGGAAUUGCACACCAAUGUAACAGUGCUGAUGCUGCAGCACUCCAAGCCGAGGAUCUUUCGGAAAUAGCCUCCUUACCUUUCAAGGUGGGGGUUAGGUCUGCGUACACUCUACCCUCCCCAGACCCACAUUGUGGGAUUAUACUGGGUUUGUUGUUAUUGGUACACAAGAUCAAACCAAUAUCCAAGAUGCAGGAGAACCAAUCAACCAAAGGAAUUCAAUAUUGAUGAAUUCAUCAAAAAUAUAGGAAAACACCAAACUUCAAAAACAAGGUAUUGACUUAGCUCUCCCAAAGUCCCAUCCCCCCAUAUUGAAUGCAUAGGUACUGCUUUAGCAGGUACUAAUCAAGGGAGCAAUGCAGCAAGUAAUGCAGGUAUUGACUCAUUACUCCCCAUACCCCUGAAACCCCCAGAUUAUAUUUCUACUGCUGCUGAUUAUGUAGUUAAUGGAGGUAUGGUUGGAGGAGUUCUGGAGAAUCCCACUAAUCUGCAGGAUGGGGAACCCAAAAGGGGGGGAUUUUACCUCAUGUUUUGCAUGAGAACAUCACUGACCCUAGGAGUGACCUUAGAGCUCCUGCUACCCCUGCACACAAGGUCCAAACAGACACUCCAACUCCUGAAUCCAUAAGAAGAGAUGUCCCUACUGAUGACUCUACCAUACAAAACAUCAUAGGCUCUAUGGCCAAAGAUUUGGGCUCCAUUGCAAGUACUACUACUAAAAAGAACAACUUGAGCAAGAAAAGGAGAGAGGCCAUAAAAAAGUAAAUUGCAGAAAAAAACUCUGCUGAGAAAUGCCAAACUCCUAUAACUGACAGUGUAGUACUGCACCAAAGUGAGCAGGGAUGUCAACAAUUUGUACUUGAUGAGGAUCAGGUGGGUAUGGAUAUCACUCCUCUUCAAGCUCAAUGCAUCCUCACACAUCCCACCCUCAACACCACCAUACAGGAUCUUACUGAUGAAUAUGCUGUGUGUGAGUCAGAAAAUGAAGAGGACAAUGGUUAUAAGCCAUUGCAAGAUCAGAAUGAAGAUGAUAUUGCAAGUGAAUAGUUAAUCAAAACCUUCAACCCCUCUUCUGAUAAUGUAUAUGAGGAAGAGAUUCAACAGGUGGCUAGUUCAUAGGGCCUAUCCCCCAGAAGGAUACACAGGACCAGCUUUAGCACCAGGGCAAAAAGCUCUAUUAUAUCUGCCCCCAUAGGCAAACCAAGAACCAAGCUCCACAUUUCCAAAGACUCUCAAUGAUUAGUAUCCUCAGCUGGAAUGUGAGGGGUAUUAAUACCCAAGGAGCCAUGGAAAGGAUCAAGCAGCUAAAAAACCUGCAUCAAAUCUCCCUUAUUGCCCUAUUGGAGCCCUUUUCUGAUAAUUCUCAACUGCAACAUUUCAGAAAUCAGCUUAAUAUGGACUAUGCCAUCCAUAAUCUAAAUGGUAAGAUUUGGAUUUUUUGGAACAAAGAUGUGGACUGCAGGAUUUUGGAAAAUGAUGAGCAAUUGAUCACAUGUGUGGUUAAUCAUGUUAUGAUCCCAAAUCAGUUCAUCACUACCUUUGUCUAUGCAAAAUGCAAGGACCAACUCAGAAGGCCUCUCUGGGACAGCCUACUACAGCAGUCAACCACUCCCCUCCCUUGGUUCACCUUAAGGGACUUCAAUGUUAUAACAGACCCUGAAGAAAAGCUUGGAGGGUUCCUUAUAAAAUGAGAAAGAGUCUUGAUUUUAUCAGCAUUGUAGAAGCUUGUGGUUUGCAGGAUCUUGGCUUCUCUAGGCAGAAAUACACAUGGUCCAACCUAAGAGGUAUUAUGUUCAGAGUUUAGAAGAGAUUGGAUAGAGGGAUGGUUAAUGAUAAGUGGCUGGAAACCAUGCCUCACACUAGCAUCACUCAUCUCCCUUCUGAGGGCUCAGAUCAUUGCCCCUUGCUCUUGGAAAUGGUGGAUCAUCAUCAUAAUCUCAUCAAGUACUUCAGAUUUUUGAAUUGCUGGCCAGACCAACCCUCAUUCAUGGACACUGUCAAGGAGUGUUGGAGCAGAUCAGUAGCAGGCAAUCCAAUGUGGAGCUUUCACCAAAAAAUGAAGAGACUAGCUUCCACUCUUAGCAGGUGGUCCAGAAAUCAGUUUGGAGACAUUUAUGCUAGAGUUAAAGAAUAUGAGGAGGAAGUUAGACAAGCAAGCUGAAGAGAACCUGAACAAUAUCCACAUGAAAACAGGUCUAAGCUUCAUGCCAUCAAUGCUGAAUACAUUAAAUACCUGAAAAUGGAAGAUGCAAUUCUCAGGCAGAAAACUCAGUUGCACUGGUUCAAAGAAGGAGAUGUGAACUCUAGCUAUUUUCAUGCCUUAAUCAGAGGUAGGAGAAGGAAGCUAUACAUUCACAGGAUCCAAACUGAAGAAGGUUCUUGGGUUGCAAGGAGAUACUGAAAUAGCUGAAGCAGCUUGCAAGCACUUCCAAGACAUAUUCACUGGGAAGGACAAGUAUAUUCAGCAACAGGCUCUACAGUGCAUCCCCUCAAUGGUUACUGACAAGCACAAUAAGGAUCUCCAAGCCAUGCCUACUAUGGAUGAAUUAAGAAAUGUAGUAUUCACAAUGAAUCCAAACUCAGCAGCAGGUCCAGAUGGGAUGAAUGGAAAAUAUUUUCAAGUGUGCUGGGAUAUCAUCAAAGAAGAUCUUCUUAGUGUGGUCAAUUCCUUUUUCUGUGGACAAGCCAUGCCUAAGUACUUCACCCAUAUUUGUUUGGUUCUACUUCCAAAAGUAAACCAUCCUACCAAAAUCUCUAAAUUCAGACCCAUAAGUCUGAGUAACUUCACCGACAAAGUCAUCUCCAAACUCCUUUGUUUAAGGCUGGCUCCAAUUCUUCCUAACCUCAUCUCCCUUAAUCAAUCUGGCUUUGUCAAGAAUAGAAGCAUCUCUGAGAAUAUUAUGCUUGCACAGGAAAUCAUACACCAGAUCAAAAAUCCAAAUGUAGGAGGCAAUGUUGUGAUCAAACUUGACAUGGCUAAAGCUUAUGAUAGGGUCUCUUGGUCCUACACUUGUCUGGUCUUGAGAAGAAUGGGAUUUGGUGAAAGAUUCAUUGACAUAACUUGGAGAAUUAUGGCAGACAAUUGGUACUCUGUCAUAGUUAAUGAUUCAAGACAUGGUUUCUUUCAUUCAACAAGGGAUCUCAAGCAAGGAGACCCCCUUUCCCCUGCCUUAUUCAUCCUUGGAGCUGAGGUGCUCUCCAAACAACCUACACCAUCAUCCUCAGUUUCAUGGCUUCUAUAUGACAAAUCAUGGUCCUCAGAUUAACCAUCUCAGAUUUGCAGAUGAUAUCAUCAUCUUCUCUUCAGGAAGAAAGCAGACUUUGACACUUAUCACGGAGACUCUAGAUGCUUAUGAAAAAGUCUCUGGACAGUUGAUCAACAAGCAUAAGAGUCACUUCAUGAUCCCCUCCAAUGCAUUCAAGCCUACUGUGGUGAGAAUCAAGAAAAUUACAGGCUUCAACCAAAAAGAUAGCCCCAUAACUUACUUGAGAUGUCCUAUCUAUAUUGGCAGACAGAGUAAUUUAUUAUUCUGAUUUUAUUGCAAAGGUGGUUAACAGGAUCACUGGAUGGCAUGCAAAAAUCCUUAGCUAUGGGGGAAGAGCUGUAUUAAUCAAGCAUGUUAUCCAAGCCAUGCCAAUACACCUGCUAUCAGCUAGUACUCCACCUUCAACCACCAUCAAGCAGAUACAAAGCAUAACAACCAACUUUUUCUGGGGAUGGAAAAAUGAUAAAAGGAAGUAUCACUGGUCCUCAUGGAAGAAUCUGAUCUUUCCUUAUGAUGAAGGAGGCAUAGGAGUAAGGCAAAUUACAGAUGUGGCUAAGUCCUUUCAAUACAAACAGUGGUGGAUACUUAGAUCCAAGAAUACCCUGUGGGGAGACUUCAUUAAAGCCAAAUACUGCCAGAGGGCCAAUAUCACACCAAGAAAUGGGACACAGGUCAAUCCUUGACCUGGAAGCACCUGAUGAUCAAUAAACAUAACAUUGAGCCCCAUAUUCAGUGGCAAAUUCACUCAGGUUCCUGCCUCUUUUGGUUGGAUAACUGGCUUGGAGUUGGCCCCUUAGCACACUUCAGAACUGAGAGUUGCAGAUUCAACAACACUCAAGUUUCAGAUUUUAUUACGAUGCGGUGCCAUGGUGUAUGCUUUUCGCGGACGACAUAGUCCUGAUCGAUGAGACUCGCCGCGGAGUUAACGCUAAGCUGGAGGAUUGGAGACAUACCUUGGAGUCUAAAGGGUUUAAGUUGAGUAAGACAAAGACAGAGUACUUAGAGUGCAAGUUCAGUGAGACACCUCAGGAGGUUGGCGUUGAAGUUAGGCUUGGUGCUCAGGCCAUCCAAAAGAGAAGUAGUUGCAAGUAUCUUGGGUCUAUCAUGCAAGGCAGCGGGAGAUUGACGAUGAUGUCACACAUCGUAUUGGGGUAGGGUGGAUGAAAGGGAGGCUCGCUUCCGGAGUGCUAUGUGACAAGAAUGUGCCACCAAAACUUAAGGGCAAGUUCUACAAAGUGGUAGUUAGACCGGCUAUGCUGUAUGGGGCCGAAUGUUGGCCAGUUAAGGUCUCCCACGUUCAAAAGAUGAAAGUUGCUGAGAUGAGAAUGCUGAGAUGGAUGUGUGGGCACACCAGGAGCGACAGGAUUAGAAAUGAGGCUAUUCGGGACAAGGUAGGAGUGGCCUCGGUGGAAGACAAGAUGCGGGAAAUGCGACUGAGAUGGUAUGGACAUGUGAAGAGGAGAGACACAGAUGCCCCAGUGCGAAGGUGUGAGAGGCUGGCCAUGGAUGGUUACAGAAGAGGUAGGGGUAGGCCGAAGAAGUAUUGGGGAGAGGUGAUUAGACAGGACAUGGCGCAGUUACAGCUUACGGAGGACAUGACCUUAGAUAGGAGGGGGUGGAGGACCCACAUUAGGGUAGAAUGCUAGUUCAUAGUCUCGUUAUUCUUCUCUAUUCAUAGGCGUAGUAGUGCAUUACGAUCUCUUGCGCUUUGACUUCUGAUUUCUGUUAUUUCUGUUAUUAUUUAUUACUUUCUAUGCUUUGAUUACUCUAUUUUACCUGUGACGCUAUCAUUAUUUAUUUAAUCGUUAUUUGUUA